CCUGAGUGCAAAGAUGCUUAGACCCAUCCCUCCUGACUCUGCCUGGGGACCCAGGCUCCUCUGCUGCAUCACCCUUUGUCUCCUGGGAGCAGGUUCAGUGGAUGCUGAAGUCACACAGUCCCCAAGACACCUAAUCAAGGCCAAGGGAGGAAAGAGCACUCUGAAGUGCUAUCCCAUGUCUGGACACAACAGUGUGUCCUGGUACCAGCAGGUUCCUGCUCAGGGCCCUCAGUUCCUUGUUGAGUAUUUUGAGAAAAUGCAGAGAAACAAAGGAAACUUCCCUGAUCGAUUCUCAGCUCAGCAGUUUGGUGACUAUCACUCUGAGCUGAACAUGAGCACCUUGCAGCUGGGGGACUCAGCCACGUAUCUGUGUGCCAGCAGCUUGCACAGCCCUGCGGAGUCACUGGCUUUCUGUACCCAAACUUUCCUGUCCCCGCUGAGGUUGCACUAG